CCGCGUGGCACUCACUGCACUCUCAGAUCUCCCUGGCCUGCAACUCACAUCUUCCCCCUCAAAGCCACAGUCACAGUAGCCCUAGGCCUCCAGUUCCCUGUGCUAUCCACUCUGGGAACCAGGCAGGAAUGGGCGGGGAAGCGGUACAGGAAAAUCCAGGACGGAAGGAGCAGAGCUGAGAACAGAGCCCGGCCUCCCCACUGCCACAAGGGGAAGGUGAGGCAUCCUCUACUCCAGGGGUGGGUCAUCGCUGGAAGGUGCUGCAAAGCUCCUAUGAAAUCAGCAAGAGUGUAGGCAGCAAGGACACUAUUUGUCUACGCCUAAAAUGCAGUGAAUAAGACUUUAGAAUUUGAUCCAAGUACUACAGCGAUACAAGGCCUUUGAUUUAGAAUGUGUUCUCUUAAAAAGUCUCCAAGGGAGUCUGUUGCUGAACCGAAUUCAAUUUUAAAACGCCGUGAAGGGAGGGAAGAACCAAGUACAGGGCUCAAUCACGUAAAAAGUCUAAAGAAUUAUGUCAUUAGCAAUCUUUAACCUCUGAAAAGCGCCACAGAAAUGUAGAGCACGUCUUCCUAAUGGAACCGAGAAAUUUUAUGCUGACAGGUGGAGGGGCUUAUGGGACAGCGGGCCGGUGGCCAAAGAAGAUUCCAGCGCACGGCCCCUAAAUUAUUCCACUGAAUUUUUGAAGCAACUCUAUCAGAAGACCCAAGAGUCCCCACCCGGUGGAUAUCGCCCCUGAGUUUUGGUACGUGAUCAUAGAGAAGAAAAGCCUCCACUCAGGUCUGCGGCUACUGGUAAAAAUUAACGUAAGCAGGGCCUGAAGAGGAUAGUGCUUGACGGGGAUGCGCCAGGGACCUUCUAGAAUCUGCUCCUCUGGGCAACAUUUCUUUCAGUUGUGUUCUCUGCAACAUGGGUGUUUAUCAAAAUGCCAACACGUGCUACAAGAACAAUCAAUGCUAGUGGUAUUUUGUUCCUAAUAAAAUUAACAAUGUCAUUUCCCCUUCAUUUGCUUUUUUGGUUCUGUAAUGAAGUGCUUUUUAAGCAUAGAAUCAAAUUUUGACCAUUUCCUCAGCACAUGACCUGUGAGACCACUGUUUUUACUUCUGAGCUGGAAUGUUUUGUCUACCCAGCAGCCUCCCUUCUCCUGAGAACCUCAC
rnacentral:lncRNA from 10 species